rnacentral:tRNA from 1 species
GGCCUCAUGGCCUAAUGGUCAGGGCGCUAGAUUUCGGUUCAUUUGGAUCUGAUUCUCUAGAGAUUGUCGGUUCGAGUCCGGCUGAGGUCG